CACUCGAGGCUAUACAUAUCGGCCCCUGUCUCUUCACCUUCAAGUGAGCGGUACUACCCAAACACUUACCCAAGCACAGAAAUGGCUGCGUUCGAUGAGUCGCCGAUGGUGCGGCCGACGGUGCAGGAGCUGGCGGCGGCCGGCGUCGAGGAACCGCCGCGACAGUACGUGCUGCCGGAGCAAGACCGUCACGGCGACCUGCUGGCCGCCGACGAGUUUCCGGAGCCCAUCCCCCUCGUCGAUCUUAGCCGGCUCACGGACGCCGACGAAGCCGAGAGGCUCCGGGCGGCUCUGCAGACCUGGGGCUUCUUCCUGGCCACCAACCAUGGGAUCGAGGAGUCUCUAAUGGACGCCAUGAUGAGCGUGUCGAGGGAGUUCUUCCGGCAGCCGGCAGAGGAGAAGCAGAAGUGCAGCAAUCUGGCGGACGGCAACGGCAAGGACUACCAGGUGGAAGGGUAUGGAAGUGACAAGGUGGUGUCCGAGGAUCAGGUCCUCAACUGGAGUGACCGGUUGCAAUUGGAAGUGGAUCCAGAAGAUGAGAGGAAUCUCGCUAAGUGGCGCCGUCACCCGGAAUCUUUCAGAGUUUUUCUACAGGGAUGUGCACAAGAGUACGCAUCAAGAACCAAGAAAAUAAGAGACCUCGUCUUGCGAUCGAUAGCCAAGCUCUUGGAGAUUGAGGAGGACUACUUUGUCAACCAGAUAUCAAACAAAGCUUCCGGGUUUGCUAGAUUCAACUACUACCCUCCAUGCCCGAGGCCUGACCUAGUUUUGGGCCUCAUGCCUCACUCCGACAGUGGUCUCCUUACCAUCCUUUUCAACAAUGACAACGUCGGUGGCUUGCAAGUUCAAAGAGAUGGGAGAUGGUACAAUGUUCCGACCAAGCCUCACACAUUGCUGAUUAACCUAGCAGACUGACUAGAAAUAAUGAACAUUGGAAUCUUUACAAGCCCAGUUCACAGAGUGGUGACAAACAUCGAGAAGGAUAGGCUUCUUGGCUGUGUUUUACGUCGUGGAUGCGGAAACUAUGCUAGAGCCAGUGCCCGGUUUGCUGGAUGACAAGCGACCGCCAAGAUAUAGGAAAAUGUUGGCCAAGGAUUUCGUGGUCGGGCUCUUUGAACAUUUCCGUGAAGGGAAGAGAUUCAUCAACACCCUGAAAAUUUAGGUUCACCGUUUAUUAUGGAGCUGUAGUAGUGAUUACCUAUGAAGAAUAAAGAGAUGGUUUUAUCUGUUGUGUGAA